rnacentral:rRNA from 1 species
UACGUAGGUAGCAAGCGUUGUCCGGAAUUACUGGGUGUAAAGGGAGCGUAGGCGGGAAAGUAAGUUGAAUGUUAAAUCUAUGGGCUCAACCCAUAGCCGCGUUCAAAACUGCUUUUCUUGAGUGAAGUAGAGGCAGGCGGAAUUCCUAGUGUAGCGGUGAAAUGCGUAAAUAUUAGGAGGAACACCAGUGGCGAAGGCGGCCUGCUGGGCUUUAACUGACGCUGAGGCUCGAAAGCGUGGGUAGCAAACA